ACUGUGGUGGUUCAGUGGUAGAAUUCUCACCUUCCAUGUGGGAGAUUCAGGUUCAAUUCCCAGCCAAUAUA
rnacentral:tRNA from 1 species